UGGAUCAAUGAUGACAAUGUAGCAUAAGGCAAAGAUUAUGAAUAAUCCAGUUCUGCAUGGCUGAGGUCCAU